GGAACUUAAAGCUAAGGCUGGGCAUAGUGGCUCAUGCCUGUAAUUCCAACACUUUGGGAGGCCAAGGUGGGUGGAUCACCUGAAGGUCAGGAGUUCGAGACCAGCCUGGCCAACAUGGUGAAACCGCGUCUCUACUAAAAGUAUAAAAAAUUAGCCGCGUGUAGUGGUGGCGAUUUGCCUGCCUCAGCCUCUGGAGUAGCUGGGAUUACAGGCACGUGCCACCAUGCCCAGCUAAUUUUUUUACUUUUUGCAGAGACAGGGUUUCGCCAUGUUGGCCAGGCUGGUCCCCAACUCCUGACCUCAAGUGAUCCACCCGCCUCGGCUUCCCAAAGUGCUGGGAUUACAGGCGUGAGCCAUCGCACCUGGCCUGAGUUUGCAUUUCUAAGUUCCCAGAUGAUGUGACAGCUACUGGUUUCCAGCCACACCUUGAGAACACUUGGCUUUCACUAUCACUUCUUAAACUUAAAGGAAAACUAGACAAUCCACCAGCCCAGGAGGGGACAAGCAGGCUUAAUCCCCCUCCUCGUCAUCUCUGGCUCCAGCCCCACCCUGGCCCUUCCUGGCAUUCUUCCUCUUCACGUGGCUGGGGUGGCCACCCCAAUAGGGAGGCAGAGGGAGAAGUCCAUGUGCUUCUGGGAAUCCAGGCGGACAGUGAAGAACAGGAUAUUUACCACCUGCUCACGGAUAUGAUACUGUUGGAUCAGCACACGAGCGUGGCGGAUGGACUUAAGCCAAGC
rnacentral:antisense_RNA from 1 species